GCUCUGACCAGCCCAGUGGACCAGGAGAAGCCAGCUUUUAUGUGGCCUUUUCUGGGUCAGCAGCUAGGGUUCCUCUUUUCAGCUAAACCACAGUUCUCCAUUUUGUUUCUUUUAGCAGCUUUAGAAGAAAACUUUCUAAGUCACGAGGGCAUCAUUUCAAUGGCUUCUUUAUCAAAAGAGUAAAGGGACCUCCUCCUCUACUCCCAGAGAGCAGUUGACAAGGAGGGAAUUUCCUCUCCAAUGGGUGUGAUUUUCCUAUGGCAAAGACAAUCUGCUAGGAGCUCUGUGCAAAGACACUAAUGUCCUUGAGCAACCUGAGGCUGAAGACACCACUAUCUGUGCAUCCGUCAACGUGAGGUUUUCAAUGCUGUUGCUUAAAAUGUAUUUAGUAAUUAAAGGGAAACAUACCACUGAAGUCGAAGGAUGUCCCAAAGAAGCCUCGAGUUGAGGAGGAAGAAAUGGAAAAUGAUUCACUGGUUGUCUUCAGAGGAAUGCUGUGGCUCUUCUUGGCUGGGCCUUUACUCAUCCGGGUAAGAUGUUAAAUUAGCUUCUCAAGUUCCUCGAAAACACUUACGGGAAUUUGCCUGGGCCUAAGUGUGAACCUUAAAAAAUAAAACUGUCACUUUACUAGCAAAAAACCAAGUGUAUUCAGGAAUAUAGCAGAGCACUGCAAUCCAGGCCAAGCAAGCUACGGCAAAACCACACGCAGGUCCAGAGAACGAAAGAGUCGCACGUUUCAUAGACCAAAGGCGAGGAGGAGGGGCUGUUGUAAACCAAAAGCGGAUUGGAGUACACUGGGAUUUCAAAGGCUUCUCAUUGGCUGAACGACGACUGCCUCUCAUUGGCUGGACAGUUGCUAGGGGGAGGAGGAAGAUUUUCUUCCUCUGCAGGGGAGAUAAAUUAGUAGCGAAGGGGGUAUGAACUCGCCAGGUGCUCUCUUCCUAUUGGGUCUGCAAAUGAUGCCAAGUGGUAGGGGCUGAGAGCUCCCCCUACUGGCCUAAGCGAAGUUUCCUUUUACUAAUUUUCACUGAUGGUGAAGUCAACAGCAGAGGAGAGAGAAAACGAUAAAAUGAGAAAAACCACCCUAAAUAAGUCUUCCCUUCCACGUGUUCAGGAAAACUAGUGUUGCACAAAGACGCCUCACAGAAAAGGAUGAAGGUGAAACCCCAUACAGAGUCGUUACAAGAAAAAAAAAAGAGGAUAAAAAAUAAUCCUCCGCAACUCUAUAAAGAACUUUCCUGAUCAAUUAUUUGACGAAUCAGAUGUGUGCUUCAUCGAGGAACAGUGAACGAGUGACUUUCGCUCGUUCAUCACAGGUGUUCGGGAUACUGGACCGGUUUCAUCGCGGUCCCCGAAGGACUGAAGCAUUCACGGAUUUUAACGUAUUUAAUGUGUAUUAACGCACCGCCACUCUGAUUUUUUUGAUGCUCGGAGAAGUAUGAUUCUGCCAAUGGGAGCCCUCAGGUGCGCUCCUGAGCUGGGCGGUAUUCCACAGCGUCCCCUCUCUCUCUCCGGUGUCACCGUGCUCCGGGCUUUCGGUGACCAGUCUUCUCUCCCGGCCUGGAAGCUGGGGUUCUCCAGUCGUGGUGCGGGUUGGUCCCAGCUGGUCACCACCACCGGGACGGUUCAGUGGAAAGACGAUUUCUCUGAAGGACGACUCAGUUCUGUAGGAAUCCCUGAGAAGUCUACAACAGCUUAUUUCUUUUACGGUAAGUCAUUGUUAACAACAGCCAAGUAAACUGUUUGUUCUAAUAUCUAUGCAGGAGGGCAUGUGAAUGUGUGUCUGGCUGUGUGCACGCAUGUGCACAUGUAGGUGAGUGAACUCACCUUUUUGCUUUCCCGUCUUCAGAGCCUUUUAUGAGAGCAGUCAGAAAUACCAUAAAUAAUACACCUUUGAGUAAACAUUUGGUAAUAAUUCCUUGGCCUUGAAGUCUAAACUUCGUCAUCAAAGAAUAAAGUUAAUACAGUUGACGUUUAAACAACGUGGCUUGAACUGCUUGGGUCCACUUACAUGUGGGUUUUUUUCAAUAGACACAGUACACGCUAUAAAUGUAUUUUCUCUUCCUUAUGAUUUUUUUUUUGAUUGCACACAUAUAUGUAACAACACAGUUUUAUAUAGGAUGCUAAGAGCACUUUUCUUCAUAUUUUAUGGAAGGACCAAAAAUAUGUGGACUUUCUAUUAAUAUCCAACACAGCCAAAUCGAAUUCCUAAACAGACACGUUGCGAUUUGUUUAAAAAAAUUUUUUUUCAA